ensembl:lncRNA
GGGGAAGAGCUGUGUAGUGAAAACGGCGUCUCUGGUUUCUCAUGGGGACGUGCUGUGUUUCCAGGUAUGGAUGCGCUCAACAGUGACACUGGGCGGGUACUAUUGGAACGAAUGGGUGAUUCCAGCACUAAUAGGGCAACAGAGGUUGAGAUGACAAAGGCCCCUCUGGACUGGGACCCCUUAGGACCAACUCCCCUGAGAGCUGGCUCAGCAGGGCCACGGAAAGGCUGCUCCCUAUCAGCCCAAGUUCACGUGCCCAACACACAGUGAGACCCAUGGAACCAAAAAGGGGUUUGGAGCAGAGAAAGGUUUACUGCAGGGCCGGGCAAGGAGAUGGGUGGCUUGUGCCUCUAGAAAGUUCGAACUCCCGGAACCAACAGGUAAAGACAGGCGAGGGUCGGGGGUGUCGCGGGGUCAGUAAGCUGCUCAUGCACCGUUCUCUGAUUGGCUGAUGGUGAGGUCGCAGGGCGGAGUCACAGGGGUUCACAUCACCAUUCCUUUGGCAGCAGUAGUAGUUAAAUUCUUCCAUUUGGUGGUAGUUUUAGCAUCUGUGAAACAACGCAGAUGUGUGCUUCAGAUACUGUGACGUUGGUGCUUCAGAGAGGAGCUGAGGUGCAGGAUAGGGGGAGGGGUCUGUCCCNGAAGUCCCCAUAGGGUCCGGCUCUGUACACUGUGACUUUGACUUUGUGCCUUGGAAUCCUGGUAGAUUUCGCUUGCCACCAGAUGCCCACUGGUACCAUCACCUGCUGGGUGGCAGAGACCAGAGAUGAUAUCCUCAGUGGCCACAAAGCCAAGCUCUCAGGAUGUAGAAUGAGAUGAAAGCAACACUUUAAUUUGGUUUUACAGAGGGAACCCACAAUAAGGUUUGUCCAAACACGUGCUGGUCCAGUGAGAGCUGUGAAUAUGCCAGUCAGAGAGGCCAGCUCGAACAACGGGCUUUUUGAACCUAUGCCUGUGUUGUUCUCUUUGGUGUUUCUCCUUGUGACAAAUGACACAAAAGACCGAGACAAAGGAAAAAACACUGACCAUCUCCCAGAGGAGAGGAAUCAAUGCAAAAUCGGAGUAUUCAUAACAAACCUUUACCAAAGGCCCUCGAACCAAGGAAUUGAUUCACUCAAGUAUUUUCUCCUGCUAAUUGAAGUUUAGAGAAACAAAAGCACUGGUACCACUCUUGCUGACCCCGGACCCCGCAGGCAGAGAUCCGGGGGAGUGACCCGGCCAAAUUUCUUACCUUUUGACAGCCCUUGUCUUGGGGGGGCAGAGUGGUGGGAUGGCAGUGUUACGGCAGAUACCCAGCAGCCCUGCGCUGCAGCGUAUCAGCUCUGGCGACGGCCCCCCGUGGCUGUAGCGUACCAGCUCCAGUAGCUCUGUGGCCGUAGUGGAUCAGCUCUUUCACCCGGCGAGAAACCAAGCGAGCACUCGGAGAGUUGGAGAACUCAGGUUUAUUACGCCGGCGGGCUCAGACGAGAUCGCUCUCCAGAGUCUGAGCCCGGAAGAAGGGUUUCACAAGGCUUUUAUGGGCUACGUCUUCCGGGUCCAAGCUUGGCUAUUGGACUGGAGUGACGUCAGGCAAGGUAGUAGAUGCGGAAACAAAUUUACAGAAGCAGAUGCAUGGGGGAGGACUGGUUGGGGCAGUUGGCUAGACUUUGCUUAGUCAUCAUGGCUGGGGUCUCUCCUUUCUACAUUUUAUUGGGACAUUUUCUCCUACAGCAGGAUCUCUCAGCCUUGAGGGGAGCAGGAUCCAGCCUUGGAGAACCCAACCUUGGUGCCGGUACUGAAGCGGAGGAAGAGUUUUCUUUUCUUCCCAUCUAUGAUCUUUGGCUGCCUGUAGAAUUCAUGGACAUAAAACAGAUUAACAGGAGAAAAGCAAAUUUGAUUUCAUACCCACAAGGAGCUCCUAAAAACAUGAGUUUCCAAGAAGUGACCAAAGCAAACAGCUUUUAUACAUUUUAAGCAAAGGAAUAAUGAGUGAGAAAAAUGAAAAUGAUGGAGAAAUUUGGGCUCGGGGUAGUAAUUAGUGAGGAAGUAGCAAGGUUUGUCUCUACAGCCCUAAUGUCCAUGUACCUGGCGGCACAAAGAGGGCUCCCUUCUGCUAUGUGUGUGUGUGUGGGUGGCAUUCGGCUUGCCCAUCUUGCUCUGGGUAUUUCUUGAGUAGCAUUAAUUCCAGAUAAUCAGUGUGCUGAAGUGGCACCCACUGGGGAGCAUAUUCUGCUCUCCUUCACUAUGUAAUGUAUAGAAUACUAUGUAACAGAUAUAGAUAUAUAUAAUGGCAUUUAAAAAUUGCCACUUAAUAACAAGCGUCUUUGACCCCUACCCAUGUGACAGCUCUUAGCAUACUUUGUCUCAGCCUCCUGAUAGCAGGGCUGAUGUUAAUCCAUCUUCUGCAGCCCAGAGGAGCUGACUUGUAAAGCCAGGAGCUGUUAAGCGGAAGAGUCAAGGUUUGAAACACUGAGUCUUCUCUUCUUCUUGCUUAUGUCUUUUGAGCCACGCAUGGACGGGAAGUCCACCUGCAACUCCUCAUUGCAUUUUCCUCUCAAAUAUCAUUGUGAAUUGUGUCAUUAUCUUAGUAUCACCACAUGGUCACGCUGUCACGUUCUCUCAAGAGGCGGGUAUUCAGAACCAAGCUGAAUUCUGUAUUUUUUUUUAUCUUCCUUAAUUUGAAUCCUUUAUAUGGACUGUGAGUGAGAAGCAGCUACACUUAGGGUAUAUCAGAUGUAGGCGAUGCUGGGAAAGCAUGGGUGGCCCCCUAAAAAGAAAUAAAAAUUCCCUGUGGGGGAAACAAGUUCUGGCUCCCCUUUCACUUGACCUUGAGCCAGAUGAGUUUCAGGGCAUCUUAUCAAACCAGUACAUUUCCUGCUCUUGCCCCCUCUAGGGAUUGUUUUAAGGUACAGAUCAAAAACUGUGUUUAUGUAUAACUGAGUCACUUUGUUGCACAGCAGAAACGUUCGCGACCUUGUCAAUCAAUGACGCUUCAAUAAAACUUUAAAAGUAAAAAAAA